rnacentral:rRNA from 1 species
UACGUAGGGUGCGAGCGUUAAUCGGAAUUACUGGGCGUAAAGCGUGCGCAGGCGGUUAUUUAAGUCAGGUGUGAAAGCCCUGGGCUUAACCUAGGAAUUGCGCUUGAGACUGGAUAGCUUGGAGUGCGGCAGAGGGAGGUGGAAUUCCACGUGUAGCAGUGAAAUGCGUAGAGAUGUGGAGGAACACCGAUGGCGAAGGCAGCCCCCUGGGCUAACACUGACGCUCAUGCACGAAAGCGUGGGGAGCAAACAGG